rnacentral:rRNA from 1 species
AGCGCAGACGGCGAAGCAAGUCUGAAGUGAAAUGCAUGGGCUCAACCCAUGAAUUGCUUUGGAAACUGUUUGGCUUGAGUGUCGGAGGGGUAAGCAGAAUUCCUAGUGUAGCGGUGAAAUGCGUAGAUAUUAGGAGGAACACCGGAGGCGAAGGCGGCUUACUGGACGACAACUGACGUUGAGGCUCGAAGGCGUGGGGAGCAAACA